ACAUGCAGUCGAGCGGAAGGAUGCGCGUAGCUUGCUCCCUGAUGUGAGCGGCGGACGGGUGAGUAACACGUGAGCUAACCUGGCUGUAAGACUGGGAUAACUCCAGGAAACCCGGGCUAAUACCGGAUGCUUGAUUGAACCGCAUGGUUCAGUUAUAGAAGGUGGCUUUUAGAUACCACUUACAGACUGGACCCUCGGCGCAUUAGCUAUGUGGUGAGGUAACGGCUAACCAAAGCCACGAUGCGUAGCCGACCUGACAGGGUGAUCACGCCACACUGGGACUGACACACGGCCCAGACUCCUACGGGAAGCAUCACUAGGGAAUCUUCCGCAAUAGACGAAAGUCUGACGGAACAACACACCGUGAUUGAUGAAGGUUUUCCGAUCAUAAAACUCUAUUGUUAAGGAACAACACCUACCGAUCAAAUACGGCGGUACCUUGACGGUACCUAACCAGAAAGCCACAGCUAGCUACCUGCCAGCAGCCGCAGUAAUACGUAAGAGGUAAGCGUUGUCCGGAAUUAUUGGGCGUAAAGCGCGCGCACGCGGUUUCUUAAUUCUGAUGUAAAAGCCCACAGCUCAACCGUGGAGGGUCAAUGGAAACUGGUGAACUUGAGUGCAGAAGAGGAGAGUGCAAUUCCACGUGUAGCGGUGAAAUGCGUACACAUGUGGAGGAACGCCACUGACGAACGAGACUCUCUGGACUGUAACUGACGCUGAGGCGCGAAAGCGUGGGGAUCAAACA
rnacentral:rRNA from 1 species